CAGUAACGGCGAGUGAAGCGGCAACAGCUCAAAUUUGAAAUCUGGCCCCCUCGGGGUCCGAGUUGUAAUUUGCAGAGGGAGCUUUUGGCGUCGGUCGUGGUCUAAGUUCCUUGGAACAGGACGUCACAGAGGGUGAGAAUCCCGUACGUGGCCGCCGGCCUUCGCCUUGUAAAGCCCCUUCGACGAGUCGAGUUGUUUGGGAAUGCAGCUCUAAAUGGGAGGUAAAUUUCUUCUAAAGCUAAAUACCCGCCAGAGACCGAUAGCGCACAAGUAGAGUGAUCGAAAGAUGAAAAGCACUUUGGAAAGAGAGUGAAAAAGCACGUGAAAUUGUUGAAAGGGAAGCGCUUGCAGCCAGACGUGCCCGCAGUUGAUCAUCCAGGCUCCGGCCCGGUGCACUCCUCUGCGGGCAGGCCAGCAUCAGUUCGGGCGGUCGGAUAAAGGCCUCUGUCAUGUACCACCCCCCGGGGUGGCCUUAUAGGGGAGGCGCAACACGGCCAGCCUGGACUGAGGUUCCGCGCAUCUGCUAGGAUGCUGGCGUAAUGGCGGCAAGCGGCCCGUCUUGAAACACGGACCAAGGAGUCUAACAUCUAUGCGAGUGUUUGGGUGUCAAGCCCGAGCGCGUAAUGAAAGUGAACGGAGGUGGGAACCCUUACCGGUGCACCAUCGACCGAUCCUGAUGUCUUCGGAUGGAUUUGAGUAAGAGCAUAGCUGUUGGGACCCGAAAGAUGGUGAACUAUGCCUGAAUAGGGUGAAGCCAGAGGAAACUCUGGUGGAGGCUCGCAGCGGUUCUGACGUGCAAAUCGAUCGUCAAAUUUGGGCAUAGGGGCGAAAGACUAAUC
rnacentral:rRNA from 1 species